GGGGGGAUAGCUCGGGGGUAGAGCAUUUGACUGCAAAACGAGAGGCCCCGGUUCAAACUCGGGUCUCCUCU